UUGAGGCCUUGCAGGCUGCAAAGCAGCAUUGAUCAUGCAAGGCCGACUUGCCGCCGAACACAGUGAGGGGGCGUUACCAAAA
rnacentral:sRNA from 1 species